rnacentral:RNase_P_RNA from 1 species
GGUAUAUGCGUAUUUCUUCGGAAAUAUGAGGAAAGUCUGGACAUCAUCCGAAAGGAGAAAAGCUAACGGCUUUGGUCCGAAAAAAUAUCAAAAAUUUCGGAUACGGAAAGUGCCACAGAGACAAUACUAGUCGCAAGACGAAAGGUGAAAAGUCAUUUUGUGUACUGAGGUUAACUCUCAAAAGAUUUUUUUGAAAAGAACCAAAAGUGCGAUAAAUGAGCCAUUGGCGGGUAAACCCUCUCUGAUGCAAGAGGAAUGGUAUUUUUGUGCAUAAUAUUUUCGGAAUAGUGAACAAAAAUAUACCUCGCUUGAGGUUUUGGGCGACCAAAAUCCUAGAUAGAUAUAUACC